rnacentral:lncRNA from 1 species
UACCUCUCCGUUGGUCUUGGUAAACGUUGAGUUUUUCCCAUUUCGUCCGUUGACGUAUGGUUGUAUCUCUUCCAGUCAUUCAUUAAUGUCUGGUUACCUCUCCGUUGGUCUUGGUAAACGUUGAGUUUUUCCUAGUUGUCCGUCGGCAUCUAGUUGUGAUUUUUAUUCCCAUUCAUCAUCGUUGUGAUGUCUGGAUGUGGCCGUAUCCUUUAAAAAAAAAUAAAAAAAUACCCAGUAAUAAGUAUCAGAUCCCAGUGGACGUUUCCAUUAUUGGAUCCCUGCAUUGUGCAAAUUCUACGGUUCUUAGUAUUCAAUCCCUGUUUACCCUGAAAGUCUGACAGCCGUCGCUAUCAUCCGUU